ACCCUGGGUCACAAUCCAUCCCUGUGGUGUAGGUAGCAGGGCCCCUUGAUUGACAGACUCAAGAAUCAUAUGGAAUUGGAGAGGGGCCGUCCUCUGCAGUAAAGGAUGCCAGACAAACCAAAAAAGUGGCAGAUGCCCAUUACAGCACAGAAUAUAUUCAGAUAAUUUUAUGAAAUUCAUGUAUAUCAAGUCUUUGGCUGUUCCUGCUGCAUGCUAUAAACCUUAUCUGUCCCAAAUGGAAAAGCACUUGGCAGUUGAUUAAUUCAAUCCCUUCUUCCCUGGCAUAGCACGACUUCAUUUUUGCAUUGCUCAGUUACAAAUCUGUCUUCUGCCUUUCCUGGAACUGCUAAUACAUUACAGUCUGUAUCCAAGUCAUACAAGGUCUCCUAUAUUUGUUUUGAAUGUAGAAUCAUCACCAUGUUUUUCUAGAACUCUUUUUUCCUAUAGAUAUAUAUUCUCUGGGAUAAAUUGUUUCAUAGUUGAGCCAAAUUCCAGGGGAUCCACUAAAUUACUAUUGAAGAGCUGCCCCUGUAGGAUCAUCCCCGUUCAUGUAAUAAGUUGGAUCCAGUGCAUAAUCAUACCAUUGCUGCUGCUAAGUCACUUCAGUCAUGUCCGACUCUGUGCGACCCCAUAGAUGGCAGCCCAACAGGCUCCCCCGUCCCUGGGAUUCUCCAGGCAAAAACACUGGAGUGGGUUGCCAUUUCCUUCUCCAAUGCAUGAAAGUGAAAAGUGAAAGUGAAGUCACUCAGUCAUGUCUGACUCUUCACGACCCCAUGGACGCUUUUAAAAUGAAUACUAAUGGUGAGUUUUCUCCUUAAAAACUCAUUCCUGCUUUUAUCUUUUCCUGUCAGAAGAUGGUGGGCUGCUUCUAGUUUCCUGUCCUCUUGGAAUGAUGAUAAUGAUGACAGUUACAAUAGUAAAGUGACUACUAUUUAUUGAGUAAACUAGUGUUGGCAUUGUAUUAGAUAUUUAUGUACUGUAUCUCUCUUAAUAUCAACAACAUGUUAGAAGGCAAAUAUCCAAUCUCCAUUUUAUAUGGAGGCAAGCAGUCUCAAAGUGGUAACAUAGUCAAGGUCACACAGCCCGUAUGUGGAAUAUCUAAGCUUUGAAAUAACGUCAACCAAAUCCCCAAGGUCAUGCUCUUUACCCCUGUGGUUAGACAUGUGAAACCAUCACCUUUAUUUCCCUUUCCUUUCCUCCUUCUCUAUCUUUCUGACUUUGCUGUCUUUCUUCCAGCCUGCUCCAAUUUCUCAAACCC
ensembl:lncRNA